rnacentral:tRNA from 8 species
GGGCUUGUAGCUCAGCUGGUUAGAGCGCACGCCUGAUAAGCGUGAGGUCGGUGGUUCGAGUCCACCCAGGCCCACCA